UACGUAGGGCGCAAGCGUUAUCCGGAAUUAUUGGGCGUAAAGAGCUCGUAGGCGGUUUGUCGCGUCUGCCGUGAAAGUCCGGGGCUCAACUCCGGAUCUGCGGUGGGUACGGGCAGACUAGAGUGAUGUAGGGGAGACUGGAAUUCCUGGUGUAGCGGUGAAAUGCGCAGAUAUCAAGCGGAACACCAGUGGCGAAGGCGAGUCCCUGGACGACUCCUGACACUGAGGCACGAAAGCUAGGGGAGCAAACAGG
rnacentral:rRNA from 1 species